UACGUAGGGUGCGAGCGUUAUCCGGAAUUAUUGGGCGUAAAGGGUGCGUAGGCGGUUGGAUAAGUUAGGUGUGAAAGCUAUAGGCUCAACCUGUAGUUGCGCCUAAAACUAUCCAGCUAGAGGAUACUAGAGGAAAGCGGAACUCAUGGUGUAGCGGUGAAAUGCGUAGAUAUCAUGAGGAACACCAGUAGCGAAGGCGGCUUUCUGGGGUAUUUCUGACGCUGAGGCACGAAAGCAUGGGGAGC
rnacentral:rRNA from 1 species